rnacentral:rRNA from 1 species
CCUACGGGAGGCAGCAGUAGGGAAUAUUGCUCAAUGGGGGAAACCCUGAAGCAGCAACGCCGCGUGGAGGAUGAAGGUUUUCGGAUUGUAAACUCCUUUUGUUAGAGAAGAUAAUGACGGUAUCUAACGAAUAAGCACCGGCUAACUCCGUGCCAGCAGCCGCGGUAAUACGGAGGGUGCAAGCGUUACUCGGAAUCACUGGGCGUAAAGAGCGCGUAGGCGGGAUAGCAAGUCAGAUGUGAAAUCCUAUGGCUUAACCAUAGAACUGCAUUUGAAACUGUUAGUCUAGAGUAUGGGAGAGGUAGGUGGAAGUCCUGGUGUAGGGGUAAAAUGCGUAGAGAUCAAGAGGAAUACUCAUUGCGAAGGCGACCUGCUAGAACAUAACUGACGCUGAGGCGCGAAAGCGUGGGGAGCAAACAGGAUUAGAUACCCCGGUAGUC